GCAGUCGACGAUGAAGCUGAGCUUGCUUGGUGGAUUAGUGGCGAACGGGUGAGUAACACGUGAGUAACCUGCCCCAGACUCUGGGAUAAGCACUGGAAACGGUGUCUAAUACCGGAUAUGAACCUCCACCGCAUGGUGAGGGGUUGGAAAGAAUUUCGGUCUGGGAUGGACUCGCGGCCUAUCAGCUAGUUGGUGAGGUAAUGGCCCACCAAGGCGACGACGGGUAGCCGGCCUGAGAGGGUGACCGGCCACACUGGGACUGAGACACGGCCCAGACUCCUACGGGAGGCAGCAGUGGGGAAUAUUGCACAAUGGGCGCAAGCCUGAUGCAGCAACGCCGCGUGAGGGACGACGGCCUUCGGGUUGUAAACCUCUUUUAGUAGGGAAGAAGCGAAAGUGACGGUACCUGCAGAAAAAGCACCGGCUAACUACGUGCCAGCAGCCGCGGUAAUACGUAGGGUGCAAGCGUUAUCCGGAAUUAUUGGGCGUAAAGAGCUCGUAGGCGGUCUGUCGCGUCUGCUGUGAAAUCUGGGGGCUCAACCCCCAGCCUGCAGUGGGUACGGGCAGACUAGAGUGCGGUAGGGGAGAUUGGAAUACCUGGUGUAGCGGUGGAAUGCGCAGAUAUCAGGAGGAACACCAAUGGCGAAGGCAGAUCUCUGGGCCGUAACUGACGCUGAGGAGCGAAAGCAUGGGGAGCGAA
rnacentral:rRNA from 1 species